GACGAACGCUGGCGGCGUGCUUAAUACAUGCAAGUAGGACGGAGUUGCGAAGGGGUGAGUAACGCGCAGGUAACUACCUAUUAGUGGGGGAUAACUAUUGGAAACGAUAGCUCAUCCCGCAUACCAAUAGACUGACCGGCGGUGUAUUAGCUUGUAGGUAGGGUAAUGGCCUACCUAGGCAAGGAUACAUAGCCGACCUGGGAGGGUGAUCGGCCACACUGGGACUGAGACACGGCCCAGACUCCCUCGGGAGGCAGCAGUAGGGAAUCUUCGGGAAUGGGGGGAACACUUACCGAGCAACGCCGAGUGAGGGAAGAAGGUUUUCGGAUGGUAAAGCUCUGUUGUUAAGGAAGCGGUACUUAACCAGAAAGGAACGGCUAACUACGUGCCAGCAGCCGCGGUAAUAC
rnacentral:rRNA from 1 species